rnacentral:lncRNA from 1 species
CUGCUCCGACCUGUGGUGCUUGCAGUCACCGUCUGGGGAGGGACUGCAAAACCACACAGACAGUACGACAGACGGUGCACCAUGAGGAGAAGGUCUGGCUUCCAUGAACAUGUGCCACAGCGGGAGCAAAGUAAAUGAGAUUGGAGGGGGCCAGGAGGAAAUGACAUUGAAGCUCAGAGGAAGAGAAUUUAACCAGGACUGGACUGUCUUCCGGGGGCGAUCAGAGCAAAGGCGCUAAGAUGACAGGAGCCACUAUGCGUCUGAAGAAGCCAGGUGGGUGCUGAC